UGGGAUUUGAGUUACUAGUUAAAACUAUGU
rnacentral:piRNA from 1 species